GUUGGCGGCGGGAGAGUAACGCGUGGAGAAUGCCUUUAGAGUCGGGAGAGCCGCGGGAAAUGCAGGUAAUACCGAAUAAUGUCUCCGGACCAAAGGUGUGAUUCCGUCUAGGGAUGAGUCCGCGUCCUACUAGCUUGUUGGUGGGGUAAUGGCCUACCAAGGCAAUGAUGGGUAGCGGGUGUGAGAGCAUGGCCCGUCUCACUGGGACUGAGACACUGCCCAGACACCUACGGGUGGCUGCAGUCGAGAAUCUUCCGCAAUGGACGAAAGUCUGACGGAGCGACGCCGCGUGCGGGAUGAAGGCCCUCGGGUUUGUAAACCGCUGUCAGUUGGGAGGAAAUGCAUAAGGGUUCUCUCUUAUGUUUUGACCGAUCUUCAGAGGAAGUCCGGGCUAAGUUCGUGCCAGCAGCCGCGGUAAGACGAACCGGACGAACGUUAUUCGGAAUCACUGGGCUUAAAGAGUGCGUAGGCGGCUUGGUAGGUUGGGUGNUGAAAUCCCCACAGCUCCAACUGUGGAACUGCGCUCAAAACCACCAAGCUUUGAGGAAGGCAGAGGUGAGCGGAACUGAUGGUGGAGCGGUGAAAUGCGUUGAUAUCAUCAAGAACACCGGUGGGCGAAAGCGGCUCACUGGGGCCUUUUCUGACCGCUGAGCACGAAAGCUAAGGGUAGCGAACAGGAUUAGAUACCCUGGUAGUCCUAGCUGUA
rnacentral:rRNA from 1 species